GUGGCUCACAAUGGACUUUGUUUGUUUAGCUGCUUUUAGCCAGCCGUGCUGUGGAGAGAAGGGCAAAAAAGGCAGCAGCAGCAGCUUUUCCUGUUUCUGACACUCCUCACGAAGAAAAGCGCUGAGUGGAGCCGGUGGCCGGCACGGCUCGCACGGUGUCGGCAGAGACCCCGUGAGCAGCAGCGAGAGGCACGGUGGCUGUUUCGCUGUGACAUUGACACCACAAGAGAACUGUUUCUUGUGGAGAAGUCUUCUUGGCAUGAUGAAAGAAGCUCAUCCCCCUACAAGAAUUGAUGAAAGACUUGUAGAGGUGGUAACUGAUUGAAAAUUCCAAGUUUUGUCUCUACGUUGUCAGAAGGAAAGAAAAGUAGUUGUGGGGAGGGGAGGAGAAGAGUUCUGAAGGUUUUAUUCUGAUUCUUCUUAAUUUUUUUAGUUCUGUUAAUAAAGUAUUCUUUAUACCUUUUGA